rnacentral:rRNA from 1 species
UGAGGGAUAUUGCACAAUGGGCGCAAGCCUGAUGCAGCGACGCCGCGUGGGUGAUGACGGUUUUCGGACUGUAAAACCCUUUUCUAGAUGACGAGCAAGGACGGUAGUCUAGGAAUAAGUGUCGGCUAACUACGUGCCAGCAGCCGCGGUAAAACGUAGGACACGAGCGUUAUCCGGAGUUACUGGGCGUAAAGGGCGUGCAGGCGGUUGCGUAAGACUGGUGUGAAAGCGCCCGGCUUAACCGGGCGAGGACACUGGUGACUGCGCGACUAGAGGCAGAUAGAGGGGUGUAGAAUUCCGGGUGUAGUGGUGAAAUGCGUAGAGAUCCGGAGGAAUACCAGAGGCGAAGGCGGCACCCUGGGUCUGACCUGACGCUGAGACGCGACAGCAUGGGGAGCGAACGGG